UGUGCUGUGAAGAGAAAAGCCCUGGGUGG
rnacentral:piRNA from 1 species